rnacentral:rRNA from 1 species
GAGUGGCGAACGGGUGAGUAACACGUGGGUAACCUGCCCAUCAGAAGGGGAUAACACUUGGAAACAGGUGCUAAUACCGUAUAACAAUCAAAACCGCAUGGUUUUGAUUUGAAAGGCGCUUUCGGGUGUCGCUGAUGGAUGGACCCGCGGUGCAUUAGCUAGUUGGUGAGGUAACGGCUCACCAAGGCCACGAUGCAUAGCCGACCUGAGAGGGUGAUCGGCCACAUUGGGACUGAGACACGGCCCAAACUCCUACGGGAGGCAGCAGUAGGGAAUCUUCGGCAAUGGACGAAAGUCUGACCGAGCAACGCCGCGUGAGUGAAGAAGGUUUUCGGAUCGUAAAACUCUGUUGUUAGAGAAGAACAAGGAUGAGAGUAACUGUUCAUCCCUUGACGGUAUCUAACCAGAAAGCCACGGCUAACUACGUGCCAGCAGCCGCGGUAAUACGUAGGUGGCAAGCGUUGUCCGGAUUUAUUGGGCGUAAAGCGAGCGCAGGCGGUUUCUUAAGUCUGAUGUGAAAGCCCCCGGCUCAACCGGGGAGGGUCAUUGGAAACUGGGAGACUUGAGUGCAGAAGAGGAGAGUGGAAUUCCAUGUGUAGCGGUGAAAUGCGUAGAUAUAUGGAGGAACACCAGUGGCGAAGGCGGCUCUCUGGUCUGUAACUGACGCUGAGGCUCGAAAGCGUGGGGAGCAAACAGGAUUAGAUACCCUGGUAGUCCACGCCGUAAACGAUGAGUGCUAAGUGUUGGAGGGUUUCCGCCCUUCAGUGCUGCAGCUAACGCAUUAAGCACUCCGCCUGGGGAGUACGACCGCAAGGUUGAAACUCAAAGGAAUUGACGGGGGCCCGCACAAGCGGUGGAGCAUGUGGUUUAAUUCGAAGCAACGCGAAGAACCUUACCAGGUCUUGACAUCCUUUGACCACUCUAGAGAUAGAGCUUCCCCUUCGGGGGCAAAGUGACAGGUGGUGCAUGGUUGUCGUCAGCUCGUGUCGUGAGAUGUUGGGUUAAGUCCCGCAACGAGCGCAACCCUUAUUGUUAGUUGCCAUCAUUCAGUUGGGCACUCUAGCAAGACUGCCGGUGACAAACCGGAGGAAGGUGGGGAUGACGUCAAAUCAUCAUGCCCCUUAUGACCUGGGCUACACACGUGCUACAAUGGGAAGUACAACGAGUUGCGAAGUCGCGAGGCUAAGCUAAUCUCUUAAAGCUUCUCUCAGUUCGGAUUGCAGGCUGCAA